AACGAACGCUGGCGGCAUGCCUAACACAUGCAAGUCGAACGAGACCUUCGGGUCUAGUGGCGCACGGGUGCGUAACGCGUGGGAACCUGCCCUUAGGUUCGGAAUAACUCCCCGAAGGGGUGCUUAUACCGGAUAAUGUCUUCGGACCAAAGAUUUAUCGCCUUUGGAUGGGCCCGCGUUGGAUUAGCUAGUUGGUAGGGUAAAAGCCUACCAAGGCGACGAUCCAUAGCUGGUCUGAGAGGAUGAUCAGCCACACUGGGACUGAGACACGGCCCAGACUCCUACGGGAGGCAGCAGUGGGGAAUAUUGGACAAUGGGCGAAAGCCUGAUCCAGCAAUGCCGCGUGAGUGAUGAAGGCCUUAGGGUUGUAAAGCUCUUUUACCCGGGAUGAUAAUGACAGUACCGGGAGAAUAAGCUCCGGCUAACUCCGUG
rnacentral:rRNA from 1 species